rnacentral:rRNA from 1 species
AAUAGAUACCCCGGUAGUCCUAGCCGUAAACGAUGGGCACUAGGUAGGGGGCUCGCCGAUGGGCUCCCUGCCGUAGGGAAACCGUGAAGUGCCCCGCCUGGGGAGUAUGGUCGCAAGGCUGAAACUCAAAGGAAUUGACGGGGGCUCACACAAGCGGUGGAGCAUGUGGCUUAAUUCGAGGCUACGCGAAAAACCUUAUCCUGGGCUUGACAUGCAGGGAUUAGCCGGCGGAAACGUCGGUGACGCCGCAAGGUGGAACCUGUGCAGGUGCUGCAUGGCUGUCGUCAGCUUGUGCCGUGAGGUGUUGGGUUAAGUCCCGUAACGAGCGAAACUCCUGUGACUAGUUGCCAGCACGUAAUGGUGGGGACUCUAGUCAGACCGCCGGCGUCAAGCCGGAGGAAGGCGGGGACGACGUCAAGUCAUUAUGGCCCUUAUGCCCAGGGCUGCACACGUGCUACAAUGGGGCGGACAGAGCGUCGCCAGGCCGCAAGGCCGCGCUAAUCGCAAAAACCGUUCCUCAGUUCGGAUUGCGGG